rnacentral:RNase_P_RNA from 1 species
GGAGUGGCUUGGAUGAUCGCGUCAGAGAGUAAUUUCUGCCGAGGAAAGUCCGGGCUGCACAGGGCAGAGUGCCGGAUAACGUCCGGUAAGGGUGACCUUGGGACAGUGCCACAGAGAAUAGACCGCCAGUCAUCGUUGAUUUCUGGUAAGGGUGAAACGGUGCGGUAAGAGCGCACCGCCCCGGCUGGUAACAGUCGGGGGCACGGUAAACCCCGCUCGCAGCAAGGCCAAAUAGGAAAGCGCCAAGCGUGGCCCACGUUUGCUUUCGGGUAGGCUGCUUGAGCCUGUCAGUAAUGGCAGGCCUAGAGGAAUGAUCAUCGCCGCUUUCUCGUUAGAGAUCUGCGGAGACAAAACCCGGCUUAUAGAGCCACUCCGUAU